AUCAAGCCGCCGGGGAGUCCUAUCAUGCAGGACUGAGAGGGGGGAGCACACGAGCCCCUGACCCGUUGAACCUGAUCCGGUUAGUACCGGCGUAGGGAGAGCGCGCAGCAGUGCAG
rnacentral:ncRNA from 2 species